GAUGAACGCUGGCGGCGUGCCUAAUACAUGCAAGUCGAGCGAACAGACGAGGAGCUUGCUCCUCUGACGUUAGCGGCGGACGGGUGAGUAACACGUGGAUAACCUACCUAUAAGACUGGGAUAACUUCGGGAAACCGGAGCUAAUACCGGAUAAUAUAUUGAACCGCAUUGUUCAAUAGUGAAAGACGGUUUUGCUGUCACUUAUAGAUGGAUCCGCGCCGCAUUAGCUAGUUGGUAAGGUAACGGCUUACCAAGGCAACGAUGCGUAGCCGACCUGAGAGGGUGAUCGGCCACACUGGAACUGAGACACGGUCCAGACUCCUACGGGAGGCAGCAGUAGGGAAUCUUCCGCAAUGGGCGAAAGCCUGACGGAGCAACACCGCGUGAGUGAUGAAGGUCUUCGGAUCGUAAAACUCUGUUAUUAGGGAAGAACAAAUGUGUAAGUAACUAUGCACGUCUUGACGGUACCUAAUCAGAAAGCCACGGCUAACUACGUG
rnacentral:rRNA from 1 species